rnacentral:lncRNA from 1 species
UCCAUCAUUCACAUUUGGAAUCCAAUGCCAUGUGCAACACAUGUUGUUGCACCUUUAACCCAUUUGUUGACACAUUUCACCUCCCUUUCCAUCUCUAUGCAAUGUACACAAUCAUUCAUGCUCCCUAGCUACAACACCACUCCAUUUUACCCUUCAAACUUUGCAUCAUUACUUCAUUUUCACCCUUGGACCAUUGCACACCACACACACAAAUUGCCAUGCAUUUCAUCCUUAACCUAACCUGAUUUUCUAAGGUUUUUUUGGGCCUAUAAAUACAUGUUUACACCCCUUGGCCAAAGGACAAUCCCCCAUAUUCAUCAUUUUAUCACAAAAAUU